rnacentral:hammerhead_ribozyme from 1 species
AUCCAUCUGACGAGUCCCAAAUAGGACGAAACACGAUGGUCGCGCCAUAUCGUGGAG